CACGUAGGGGGCAAGCGUUGUCCGGAUUCAUUGGGCGUAAAGAGCUCGUAGGCGGUUCGAUAAGUCGGGUGUGAAACCUCCAGGCUCAACCUGGAGACGCCACCCGAUACUGUCGUGACUAGAGUCCAGUAGGGGAGCGUGGAAUUCCUGGUGUAGCGGUGAAAUGCGCAGAUAUCAGGAGGAACACCGGUGGCGAAGGCGGGUCUCUGGGACGGUACUGACGCUGAGACGCGAAAGCGUGGGGAGCGAACAGG
rnacentral:rRNA from 1 species